UAAUCUCCCUAAAAUGUCAAUCUGGUCAAUCGUUUGGUUUCACGCUUUGUAUUAUGCUUUCAAUUUCAAUUUCGUUUGGUUUUCAUGUUGGUUUCUUAUUAUUCCUUGAGACCUUUCGUUUACACUCUGCUUCUUUAACUAGAAAAAGGUUUCUUUAAUUAUUUCCAAUCUGAUGAUGUAUUUUGAAUAUGGAUUUAUGCUAUACACUUUCGAUAAUGUCUCUAGGAUUGUUAAUUUUGGUCUUUGCACACCACAUGUUUGAUAAAAUGCCACAUAGAGCACCACACUGUUAUGAAUUAUAGUUUCAUUAUCAUUGUCUCUAUAUUCAGAGAAUUUUAUACUUGUUCUUUCAGUUUUGUUGGAAACCCUAGCUGCUACUGGAAUUGGAGAGAUGGAUCGGAUUUCACACCUUCCUGAAUCUAUUGUCCAUCACAUACUCUCCUUUCUUAAGAAUACUCCUGCAGAGCUUGUUCGAAUGAGUGUAUUGUCCAAGUCCUGGUUUCACCUAUCCGCUUCUUUCCCCUGUUUAUAUUUCAAUAUCCGUUAUUUUAUAACUCGAGAAAGUUUUUUCAAGUAUGUUGAGUAUACCACCUCUAGAUUCUGUCAUCAAAAUCUCAUUGCAAACAGGCUCUUCCUCGUUGCAACUGUCCGAGAGCAUGCGGAAUUAGAUAUUGUUAAUAGAUGCCUUGAAAAAGUUCUUAAGAAUGGCGUGAGGGAGUUGGCGAUUUAUAUUACUAACUCAAAGUACCGUUUGCCUAACAUACUCCUAUCGGUUUCGGUGUUAAAGACUUUGGUCAUUUUAGGCUGUGAGUUGCCUUCUUCCUUGAUGCUUGAUGCUGUCAGGUUUAAGUCUUUGAUUAAGUUGAGUCUUGUAAGUGUUCCGAUAGAUGAUGAAGUGAUCAAGCAUCUUACCACUAGUUGCCCUCUUCUUCAAGAAUUUGAGAUUGACAGUUGUAGUGGUUUGAAAAGAGUUUGUGUUUAUGGGCAUCAAAAUCUUCAAAGUGUUUAUAUUCAGUGUAACACUGCAGUUGAGAGAAUAGAUAUUGAAGCUCCAAAUCUAUCUAGUCUGACGAUAAUUAAUUGGGAUGGAAUAGGGGCACCGCAAAUGAACUUGGCUUCAUGCAAAAAACUAACAACAGUGUCUUACUUUGGGCAUCUUUUACCAGACUCGAAUGGUUUUACCAACUUCGUAUCCAACUUCCCCUUCGUUGAAAAUUUGUAUUUGGCUAUUAAUUAUAAAUGCAAGAACGUCAAGCUGUCAAGUCAUUCCUUGAGGACAUUCAUGUUACAUUCAGUGUGUGAUUUAGAAGAAAUUGAGUUCAAUACCCCGAAUUUGGCUUUGUUUGGUUACCCUUGUAAUUAUGGUUCAUUAUGGCCUAUGGUAAGGCGUUCAACCCAUUUGAAAGCAUGUAUGCAAUGUUAUCCCGACGAUGGUACAGAUGCUCUUUGGUUCCUGAAGUUGAGGCUAUUUUUGGACAAGAAAAAUGGGUUCAAAGUUUUGAACUUGUAUAUUCAAGCUAAACAUAGUCAGGCUCGUUUCUUUGAUCAUUCUUUUAGAGAGGCUAAAGGCGAUUGAAUUGCCACCUUAUGAACUGGAGCAUGUUGAGCUAAAACUAGACGCGAAUGAAGAAUUAUCAGCCCAUGUUGCUUUUGUGGAGGCUGUACUUUGGUGUUGUCGUCCUCAAUCUCUAACUUUAAGAUCAUCUGUUCCUUUUGAGGAACAAAGUGAUGUUGUCAAGUUUACAUACAAGAAGCUGCUUGAACAAGACGAUCAAGGCCAUACCAAAAUUCAGAUCGUGUCGCCUUCCUCUUCGGAAGCUCAAAAGCAUUUGAUGGACUUGAAGUCAUUGUCAAUCGCAUCACCUCGUGAAGGACUAGCAAUUAGCCUCAUCAAGGAAGAAGGACCACUAAGAAGUCGUGCUGCCAAGGCGUUCGGUUUUAUUGAUAUGAUUAUUGAUUAUUCAUUAGAGAAUGCACCACUGCAAAAGGAAUUAUCAGCAGAGGAAAUGGGAAGUGCUGCUGCUUUUCUGGCAUCGCCAUUGGCUUCAGCCAUUACAGGGGCGGUGUUGUAUGUAGAUAACGGGCUGAAUGCAAUGGGAGUCGGAGUCGACGGCCCCGUACGUUUCUUGAAUCUCAUUAAGGAUCUUGACAUUCCAAGAGACGCCAAACAUUAAGGUAGUGAACAAGCGCAACGUAGGUUUCUUCGGUUUUUCAAGUAACUUGUUUUGAGUUACUUAAUUUGGGUUCACAAUUUUACAUUGAAUUGAGAAAGUUGGUGGUUAAUUUUGACAUUGUUGAUUGUAAUGGUCAGAAAUUGUUGACAUUUCUAGAGCUUGGUGGAAACAAAAAACAAAAGAAAUUCAAUGGUUGUGAUCCAUUUUCAUUUCUAAUGCCGUGAGCUCAUAUGGUAUAUUA